rnacentral:lncRNA from 1 species
UGCCUGCACUCCAGGCUUCUGAGGGGCCGCACAGGAGGAAAGUGCGCCGGGACAGGCCCUUGCGGCGGCGACAGCGACUGCUGCUGGCCGGGCUCAGGAACUUCUCAAGGGAUGAGGAGACACAACUCAUAUCUCCAAGGGCUUUCUUUGUAUUACUCAGAUGACUGGAGUUAAGAGAAGGCAGAGAAGUAUUCAAGCAGAGUCAUUUCAUAAACAAAGCAUCUGAGAAGGUUUUCUACACCCCUCCCUACCUUCUAUGGAAUGACAAGACUGGAACUAUAACGGCAUGGCUUGUUCGUUUUUCAAAAAUCAUCCCCAAUGAUGUCCCGGUUCAACUUCGCCCUAGUUCGUCAGGCGCAGCCCCACGCCGGAGCUUGAGCUAGAGCAGCAUUCCGCCA